rnacentral:lncRNA from 1 species
AUGGUCAUUCCUGGUGUCUCCAGUCUCCUAGUGUACCAACUUGAAGAGCAGCCUAAUGUGAGCUGGGCUGACAUUAACACCCGAAUCCAGCUGGUUGCAGAUUUCCAUCCUGCUCAGCCUGGAAUGCAAGACUCCUGGAUGUGGGGACGGUCCCUCAUCCAGCUGAGCUACUGGCCUAUGGCAGAUGCAAUCCCUUUUCAAGAGAGCAAAGACCCUAUGCUACAGGUCAUGGUCCUGGUGCUGGCAGAAGGCACGCCGAACCCAUCGGUGAGACCCAAUCUCUUCUUUAUUAGCCGGAAAACACGUGCAAGGUUGAAGGGUGAAGUCCAUGCAUAUUUUAUAAAACAGGGAAAUUUUCACAAGUGA